rnacentral:rRNA from 1 species
UUAAAAAGCUCGUAGUUGAAUUUCGGGGUUAGUAGGUUGGUCAUGCCUCUGGUAUGUACUGGUCUCACUGAUUCCUCCUUCCUGAUGAACCGUAAUGCCAUUAAUUUGGUGUUGCGGGGAAUUUGGACUGUUACUUUGAAAAAAUUAGAGUGUUUAAAGCAAGCUAACGCUUGAAUACAUUAGCACGGAAUAAUGAAAUAGGACGUUCGAUCCUAUUUUGUUGGUUUCUAGGACUGACGUAAUGAUUAAUAGGGAUAGUUGGGGG